CCCCCCCCCCCCCCCCCCCCCCCCCCCCCCUUGGUGCACUCAAAAAAAUCUCCCCCAGCACGGCAGCCACCAACCAAGACUCCAAAAAUGAGGUUUAUCCCCCAGGAGCAUCUCCCUCGCUGCCUCACCGUGGUACCCGGAGCAGUGACACACAGCAGUUGGCACCCCAAACCCAAAGGGCUGGAGCAGGUGGGGCUUUGGAAGCUCUCUGGGAACACACAGCCACCGAGCCAAGCUGUUGUUCUCAUUUGUUAUUCAGCGUUGAGGAAAUCUGCGCCGUUCCGUCCGUUCUCCCGGCAGCCUCCCCGUCCCGGAGGAUAAUUGAUGCUAACGUCAUUUCAUUUCAUUUCAGUCCAGCUGCUGGGCUCGGGAACAGAUGUUUUAUUGUUCCGGCUGAACACACGGAACCCGAAAAAUUUUAAAAAAAAAAAGGCAACAAAACCCAAAACACACGGAACCCGAAAAAUUAAAAAAAAAAAAAGGCAACAAAACCCAACUAUUUUGUGUUUGUGGUGAGGUUAGCCGUGGCUUCCUCUCCCCACAAAUGUGAGGAGGCAGAGCAGCAGUCCCAGGGAAGACCCAGGCCUCUGGAAAGCCAUGGUUUGUACAUCCAAUAUAUGAUUCUACAUCCCCACCUCCAGAAUUCUGCCCUGUCCAGCAGGCAGGUGCUUCCAGAGGAGAAUCAUCUCCUCAACGCUGAGCUGUCACCUUCAGGUGGGAUGCACGGCCCUUGCAUCCUCCCAGGAGCAGGGAUCCACCUGGGUUUUCCACACAGGAGCACAGCACGUGCUCAAGAGCAAAGACACACCUCUCCUCCAAGGAGAAGCCAAAA
rnacentral:lncRNA from 12 species